GACGAACGCUGGCGGCGUGCUUAACACAUGCAAGUCGAACGGAAAGGCCCUGCUUUUGUGGGGUGCUCGAGUGGCGAACGGGUGAGUAACACGUGAGUAACCUGCCCUUGACUUUGGGAUAACUUCAGGAAACUGGGGCUAAUACCGGAUAGGAGCUCCUGCUGCAUGGUGGGGGUUGGAAAGUUUCGGCGGUUGGGGAUGGACUCGCGGCUUAUCAGCUUGUUGGUGGGGUAGUGGCUUACCAAGGCUUUGACGGGUAGCCGGCCUGAGAGGGUGACCGGCCACAUUGGGACUGGGAUACGGCCCGGACUCCUACGGGGGGCAGCGGUGGGGAAUAUUGCACAAUGGGCGGAGGCCUGAUGCAGCAACGCCGCGGGCGGGAUGACGGCCUUCGGGUUGUAAACCGCUUUCGCCUGUGACGAAGCGUGAGUGACGGUAAUGGGUAAAGAAGCACCGGCUAACUACGU
rnacentral:rRNA from 1 species